CCUACGGGAGGCAGCAGUAGGGAAUCUUCCACAAUGGACGAAAGCCUGAUGGAGCAACGCCGCGUGAGUGAAGAAGGGUUUCGGCUCGUAAAGCUCUGUUGGUAGUGAAGAAAGAUAGAGGUAGUAACUGGCCUGUGUUCGACGGUAAUUACUUAGAAAGUCACGGCUAACUACGUGCCAGCAGCCGCGGUAAUACGUAGGUGGCAAUCGUUGUCCGGAUUUAUUGGGCGUAAAGCGAGUGCAGGCGGUCCAAUAAGUCUGAUGUGAAAGCCUUCGGCUCAACCGGAGUAUUGCAUCAGAAACUGUUGAACUUGAGUGCAGAAGAGGAGAGUGGAACUCCAUGUGUAGCGGUGGAAUGCGUAGAUAUAUGGAAGAACACCAGUGGCGAAGGCGGCUCUCUGGUCUGCAACUGACGCUGAGGCUCGAAAGCGUGGGUAGCGAACAGGAUUAGAUACCCUAGUAGUC
rnacentral:rRNA from 1 species